UGGGGAAUAUUGGACAAUGGGCGAAAGCCUGAUCCAGCCAUGCCGCGUGUGUGAAGAAGGCCUUAUGGUUGUAAAGCACUUUAAGCGAGGAGGAGGGUACUGGUAUUAAUACUACCAGCUACUGGACGUUACUCGCAGAAUAAGCACCGGCUAACUCUGUGCCAGCAGCCGCGGUAAUACAGAGGGUGCGAGCGUUAAUCGGAUUUACUGGGCGUAAAGCGUGCGUAGGCGGCUAAUUGAGUCGGAUGUGAAAUCCCCGAGCUUAACUUGGGAAUUGCAGUCGAUACUGGUUAGCUAGAGUGUGGGAGAGGAUGGUAGAAUUCCAGGUGUAGCGGUGAAAUGCGUAGAGAUCUGGAGGAAUACCGAUGGCGAAGGCAGCCAUCUGGCCUAACACUGACGCUGAGGUACGAAAGCAUGGGGAGCAAACAGG
rnacentral:rRNA from 1 species